AUUGAACGCUGGCGGCAGGCCUAACACAUGCAAGUCGAGCGGAUGAAGGGAGCUUGCUCCUGGAUUCAGCGGCGGACGGGUGAGUAAUGCCUAGGAAUCUGCCUGGUAGUGGGGGAUAACGUCCGGAAACGGGCGCUAAUACCGCAUACGUCCUGAGGGAGAAAGUGGGGGAUCUUCGGACCUCACGCUAUCAGAUGAGCCUAGGUCGGAUUAGCUAGUUGGUGGGGUAAAGGCCCACCAAGGCGACGAUCCGUAACUGGUCUGAGAGGAUGAUCAGUCACAAUGGAACUGAGACACGGUCCAGACUCCUACGGGAGGCAGCAGUGGGGAAUAUUGGACAAUGGGCGAAAGCCUGAUCCAGCCAUGCCGCGUGUGUGAAGAAGGUCUUCGGAUUGUAAAGCACUUUAAGUUGGGAGGAAGGGCAGUAAGUUAAUACCUUGCUGUUUUGACGUUACCAACAGAAUAAGCACCGGCUAACUUCGUG
rnacentral:rRNA from 1 species